GCUUGACUUGGGUAUACUGCCUUCCGUGAAGCUUCUAUUCUCUAUAAAUUGCCACUGAACUUUCUGAAUGAAAUCAGCAUAAUCAAGAUGAUCCUCAAGGCUAGAACUUUGUGAACUAUUCAGUAACGUGAAGUAAAGCAACUUAAUGACAACCAUCCCAUUAUCGACACAAACUGCACCCUUGUUGGUGCAGAACAAGUAGCUCCCAGAGGGACAAAAUGAACUCUUACAUUCACCUCUUGACACAACUCCAAGAGAAUCCAACACAACGUGGAAGAGCUGAGUCUUGUUUUCAUAAGAAAUAAACUGGAAACAACAUGAUGGGGCAAAGAACAGUCUUGGGACAAUAUCAUGCUGUGAAACAACAUGACAAAAAUGUCCAGCCCAUCUCUUUUGAAGAAUGGCUCUGGAGAAGGACUGAUUGCCAAGCAUUGGAGAGCCAAAUGUUAUGCAAAUGACAGAGCAAAUAGUUUGCAGGCGGCAGAGAAGCCAGAGAGUUAAGAGGGAUGCA
rnacentral:misc_RNA from 1 species